rnacentral:rRNA from 1 species
GACGAACGCUGGCGGCGUGCUUAACACAUGCAAGUCGAACGGACAGGCCCUGCUUUUGUGGGGUGCUCGAGUGGCGAACGGGUGAGUAACACGUGAGUAACCUGCCCUUGACUUUGGGAUAACUUCAGGGAACUGGGGCUCAUACCGGAUAGGAGCUCCUGCUGCAUGGUGGGGGUUGGAAAGAUUCGGCGGUUGGGGAUAGAUUCGCGGCUUAUCCGCUUGUUGGUGUGGUAGUGGAUUACAAAGGCUUUGAAGGGUAGCCGGCCUGAGAGGGUGACCGGCGACAUGGGGACUGAGAUACGGACCAGAAUGCUACGGGAGGCAGCAGGGGGGAAUAUGGCACAAUGGGGGGAAGCCAGAUGCAGCAACGCCGCGUGCGGGAUGACGGCCUUCGGGUUGUAAACCGCUGUCGCCUGUGACGAAGCGGGAGUGACGGUAAUGGGUAAAGAAGCAACGGCUAACUACGUG